rnacentral:rRNA from 1 species
GAUGAACGCUGGCGGCGUGCCUAAUACAUGCAAGUCGAGCGAACAGACGAGGAGCUUGCUCCUCUGACGUUAGCGGCGGACGGGUGAGUAACACGUGGAUAACCUACCUAUAAGACUGGGAUAACUUCGGGAAACCGGAGCUAAUACCGGAUAAUAUAUUGAACCGCAUGGUUCAAUAGUGAAAGACGGUUUUGCUGUCACUUAUAGAUGGAUCCGCGCCGCAUUAGCUAGUUGGUAAGGUAACGGCUUACCAAGGCAACGAUGCGUAGCCGACCUGAGAGGGUGAUCGGCCACACUGGAACUGAGACACGGUCCAGACUCCUACGGGAGGCAGCAGUAGGGAAUCUUCCGCAAUGGGCGGAAGCCUGACGGAGCAACGCCGCGUGAGUGAUGAAGGUCUUCGGAUCGGAAAACUCUGUUAUUAGGGAAGAACAAAUGUGUAAGUAACUAUGCACGUCUUGACGGUACCUAAUCAGAAAGCCACGGCUAACUACGUG